UGGUGAAUAUUGCGCAAUGGGCGAAAGCCUGACGCAGCGACGCCGCGUGAGGGAUGAAGGUUUUCGGAUCGUAAACCUCUGUCAGAAGGGAAGAAACCGCACUGUGCUAAUCAGCAGUGCCUUGACGGUACCUUCAAAGGAAGCACCGGCUAACUCCGUGCCAGCAGCCGCGGUAAUACGGAGGGUGCAAGCGUUAAUCGGAAUUACUGGGCGUAAAGCGCACGUAGGCUGCUUUGUAAGUCAGGGGUGAAAUCCCACGGCUCAACCGUGGAACUGCCUUUGAUACUGCUUAGCUUGAAUCCGGGAGAGGGUGGCGGAAUUCCAGGUGUAGGAGUGAAAUCCGUAGAUAUCUGGAGGAACAUCAGUGGCGAAGGCGGCCACCUGGACCGGUAUUGACGCUGAGGUGCGAAAGCGUGGGGAGCAAACAGG
rnacentral:rRNA from 1 species